rnacentral:rRNA from 1 species
GAGGUCUCGAGCGUUGUUCGGAUUCAUUGGGCGUAAAGGGCGCGUAGGCGGCGGGGUAAGUCUGGUGUGAAAUCUAGGAGCUCAACUCCUAAACUGCACUGGAUACUGCUCUGCUAGAGGACUGGAGAGGAGACUGGAAUUCACGGUGUAGCAGUGAAAUGCGUAGAUAUCGUGAGGAAGACCAGUGGCGAAGGCGGGUCUCUGGACAGUUCCUGACGCUGAGGCGCGAAGGCCAGGGGAGCAAACGGG